rnacentral:rRNA from 1 species
AUUGAACGCUGGCGGCAGGCCUAACACAUGCAAGUCGAGCGGAUGAAGGGAGCUUGCUCCUGGAUUCAGCGGCGGACGGGUGAGUAAUGCCUAGGAAUCUGCCUGGCAGUGGGGGAUAACGUCCGGAAACGGGCGCUAAUAACGCAUACGUCCUGAGGGAGAAAGUGGGGGAUCUUCGGACCUCACGCUAUCAGAUGAGCCUAGGUCGGAUUAGCUAGUUGGUGGGGUAAAGGCCUACCAAGGCGACGAUCCGCAACUGGUCUGAGAGGAUGAUCAGUCACACUGGAACUGAGACACGGUCCAUGCUCCUACGGGAGGCAGCAGUGGGGAAUAUUGGACAAUGGGCGAAAGCCUGAUCCAACCGUGCCGCGUGUGUGAAGAAGGUCUUCGGAUUGUAAAGCACUUUAAGUUGGGAGGAAGGGCAGUAAGUUAAUACCUUGCUGUUUUGACGUUACCAACAGAAUAAGCACCGGCUAACUUCGUG